UACGUAGGUGGCGAGCGUUGUCCGGAAUUAUUGGGCGUAAAGGGCGUGUAGGCGGCCAAGUAAGUUGGGGGUGAAACCUCAGGGCUUAACCCUGAGCAUGCCUCCAAAACUGCGUGGCUUGAGUGCUCUAGAGGGCAGUGGAAUUCCCGGUGUAGCAGUGAAAUGCGUAGAGAUCGGGAGGAACACCAGUGGCGAAGGCGACUGCCUGGGGAGUAACUGACGCUGAGGCGCGAAAGCUGGGGGAGCGAACAGG
rnacentral:misc_RNA from 1 species